AGAGUUUGAUCCUGGCUCAGGAUGAACGCUAGCGGGAGGCUUAAUACAUGCAAGUCGAGGGGUAUAUAGCUUUCGGGUUAUAGAGACCGGCGCACGGGUGCGUAACGCGUAUGCAACCUGCCUUACACUGGGGGAUAGCUUUCGGAAACGGAAAUUAAUACCGCAUGUAAUAACUGAAUCGCAUGGUUUAGUUAUUAAAGAUUUAUUGGUGUAAGAUGGGCAUGCGUUAGAUUAGCUAGAUGGUAAGGUAACGGCUUACCAUGGCAACGAUCUAAAGCGGGUCUGAGAGGAUGAUCCGCCACACUGGUACUGAGACACGGACCAGACUCCUACGGGAGGCAGCAGUAGGGAAUAUUGGACAAUGGGCGAGAGCCUGAUCCAGCCAUCCCGCGUGCAGGAAGACGGCCCUACGGGUUGUAAACUGCUUUUAUACAAGAAGAAAAAGUGCCAUGCGUGGCAUACUGACGGUACUGUAUGAAUAAGCACCGGCUAACUCCGUGCCAGCAGCCGCGGUAAUACGGAGGGUGCAAGCGUUAUCCGGAUUCACUGGGUUUAAAGGGUACGUAGGCGGGCAUAUAAGUCAGUGGUGAAAUCCUGCGGCUCAACCGUAGCACUGCCAUUGAAACUGUAUGUCUUGAGUGUGAUUGAGGUAAGCGGAAUGUAGCAUGUAGCGGUGAAAUGCAUAGAUAUGCUACAGAACACCAAUAGCGAAGGCAGCUUACCAAGUCAUUACUGACGCUGAUGUACGAAAGCGUGGGUAGCGAACAGGAUUAGAUACCCUGGUAGUCCACGCCGUAAACGAUGAUUACUCGCUGUUCCGAGAGGAGUGGCCAAGGGAAACCGAUAAGUAAUCCACCUGGGGAGUACGUCCGCAAGGAUAAAACUCAAAGGAAUUGACGGGGGCCCGCACAAGCGGUGGAGCAUGUGGUUUAAUUCGAUGAUACGCGAGGAACCUUACCUGGGCUAGAAUGCCUUCGACAGCCCUUGAAAGGGGGUUUUCCUUCGGGACGAAGUGCAAGGUGCUGCAUGGUUGUCGUCAGCUCGUGCCGUGAGGUGUUGGGUUAAGUCCUGCAACGAGCGCAACCCCUACUAUUAGUUGCCAGCAGGUUAAGCUGGGCACUCUAGUGGAACUGCCUACGUAAGUAGUGAGGAAGGUGGGGAUGACGUCAAAUCAUCAUGGCCCUUACGCCCAGGGCUACACACGUGCUACAAUGGCCGGUACAGAGGGCAGCCAACCUGCGAAGGUGAGCCAAUCCUAAAAGCCGGUCUCAGUUCGGAUUGGAGUCUGCAACUCGACUCCAUGAAGGUGGAAUCGCUAGUAAUCGCGCAUCAGCCAUGGCGCGGUGAAUACGUUCCCGGGCCUUGUACACACCGCCCGUCAAGCCAUGGGAGCCGAAGGUACCUGAAGUCGAUAACCGCAAGGAGUCGCCCAAGGUAAAUUUGGUGACUAGGGCUAAGUCGUAACAGGGUA
rnacentral:rRNA from 1 species